GCGAGGUCCCGAUCCGCUCCUCCCCCUCUCCCAAGGAUACGCAGCUGCCGCCUUCGCCGGAUUCGCCGCCGUUGAUCAGCCGAUCCGGGCAGCGUAGCCGCCGGUACCGCCGCCGAUCUGCCUAUCUAGGCAUACGCGACCGUCAUGGAUCACGAGAACACCGGCGCCGCCGGCGCCUAGAAUACGUCGCCCGUCCCCACCACGAUGGCACCUCGCUGCUGCCGCCCGGCAUGGAUGGCCGCCCCAAGACAUGGAUAAGCUCUCGUGAUCCCCACCCCACCCCUCUCAUCCCCUGAAUCCAUAUCCUCCAUCCCGUCUUGAUCCCGCCCACGAUCUGAUCAGGAAGCUACCCAUGAUUCGAUCCCCUGGUUUUUUAUCCGAUUAUCCACCUCUCAUCUCUCGCACGGGCGUUCUAGCAACCCCCAUCUUCGGUGGGACGACGUUGUUGACAUCGUCACGACCUCCCGCAAUUCUUGGCUCGGCCUUCCUCGACUCCAUGCGUGGCUAACGAGGUGGUCUUCGUCCAGAGGUGGUCUGCUCGUGCUCUCCUGGUCCUCUCGAAACGACAAGGGGUAGUGUCGGUCAUGGCUCGGCAGGAUAGCAUAAGCUUGCCCUUGUUCUUUUGUGUUUGAAUCAGAUUUGAUGGUUCUUAGUUUUACAUGAACCUAUCAAUCUUUCUUCUGUAUGCAGGUUACACACCUGAUGAUGUUUACGGCGAGGCGCAGGAACAAGCAGAGGCCGAGGAAGUGCGGGCAUGCACGAGGAAGGUUCAGCGGGCUGCAGAAGUCGGGCCACGCCCGGAGAGCCGCGCCAACGCAUGUGUGCGUGGUCGGUGGGUUGGCCAAGAUCUGCAUUCUGCGACUUCUUCUUCACCAUGGACACAAGCAAGGACUGACUCGUGGGUCUUGGUAGCGGUGCCGAGCAUCAGUGAAUCGAAGUGGUCGAGGUCGCGGUUAAUCGACCAGGACGAGACAUGCAUCUUGGAGCUGGUGCAGAGGGGGAAAGAAGCAGGUUGGUCUGGCCCGGCCUCGCAAAUGAAUUGGAUCUGCAGAAGGCUACCAAAAACUUCACAAUGAUUCUAGGCAAUGGCUACUGGUGAAGUCAUGGCUGAAAAGGUUCUUGUGACGCCGCUGCUACUUGGUGCCCGACGCACCCAAGGCAUCAGUUGCCAUCCCUGUUCUCCCGGUGGCCCUCUCGUCAUGUGUUCAAUUGGUCGAGUAGUUCGUCACAGCCGCUGAAGAACAGGACCAUAGUAGACCAUUGCAAUGCGGCAACCCAAAUUUCAAUUCCACGGUGUUCUGUGCGCAUCACUAAGCACAUUGAGUCAUAUAUUUUUCCUCUGCAACAUAAGAACAGGAUUUGCGGGAGAUUGUCAGCGAGCCACUAGCUGAAGUUCUUCUGCAAUGAUGCCGAGGAUUUGAUCUUGGCUGGCAUGGACCAAUUGGUGUACUCUUGGAUGGCGAUGUCACCUGGUGGCAACAGGGUGUAAUCCUAGAUGGGGGUGUUGUCCGGUGGCAGCGGGGUGCGGCAACGUACAAGAAAAGGAAAAGUGGGAGGGUGGAAUAUACCGAAAUGGGAGUAUCCACGAUGCAGGACAGGAGGACGAACGGAAUGGGAACCUUGAAGAUAAUAAUUGGCGGAAGAGCAGCCAAUGCUAUUUGUUAUUUGCCAACGGCUGGCGUGAACCGGCUGGUGUACUCCUGGAUGGCGAUGUCGCCUGGUGGCAACAAGGUGUACUCUUGGACGGGGGUGCCAUCCAGUGGCAGUGGGGUGUGCAACGUACACUAAAAGAAAAAGUGGGAGAGUGGAAAAUACUGAAAUGGGAGUAUCCAAAGAAGAUGAGGUACCAGGAGGCAUGUUACAUAGGGAGGCGGGACGGGAGGACGAACGAAAUGGGAACCUUGAAGUUUAUAAUUGGCCAAAGAGCAACCAGUGCUAACAGUUAUUUGCUUGCAAGAACAAGUUAUGUUAUAGAACUGUUGCCAUGGUGCUCAUGUCAAGUGUAGGAGUGGAUUAAAAAGUUUACCCUCUGAAUCUUUAUUUGUUGUUGUAUGGAGUAUAACCAUAAAUUUGUGUGCUCUACAAUGGUGGAGUAAAUGAGCCAGGAUUAAGUUCAAAAGGUUGUCUUAGCCCCUACAAAGGCUAAGAUUUCCCUUUAAUAUUUAAGCUUCUAGGAUAUUCUAUAGCCACCGAAUGUUAUGCUGAGCAAAAUUAAGUUUUGAGUUGUGAGAGAGGGAAAGGGGGAGGGAGAAGUGUGUGUGUGUUUGUGUGUGU